rnacentral:rRNA from 1 species
GACGAACGCUGGCGGCGUGCUUAACACAUGCAAGUCGAGCGGUAAGGCCCUUUCGGGGGUACACGAGCGGCGAACGGGUGAGUAACACGUGGGUGACCUGCCUUCAGCUCUGGGAUAAGCCUGGGAAACUGGGUCUAAUACCGGAUAUGACUCCAUGAUGCAUGUUGUGGGGUGGAAAGCUUUUUGCGGCUGGAGAUGGGCCCGCAGCCUAUCAGCUUGUUGGUGGGGGAUGGCCUACCAAGGCGACGACGGGUAGCCGGCCUGAGAGGGCGACCGGCCACACUGGGACUGAGACACGGCCCAGACUCCUACGGGAGGCAGCAGUGGGGAAUCUUGCGCAAUGGGCGAAAGCCUGACGCAGCGACGCCGCGUGAGGGAUGACGGCCUGGUGU